UACGGAGGGUGCUAGCGUUGUUCGGAAUUACUGGGCGUAAAGGGCGCGUAGGCGGCCGUUUGCGUCGGAUGUGAAAGCCCGGGGCUCAACCUCGGAACGGCAUUCGAUACGGGACGGCUGGAGACCGGGAGAGGAGAGUGGAAUAGCCAGUGUAGAGGUGAAAUUCGUAGAUAUUGGCUGGAACACCGGUGGCGAAAGCGGCUCUCUGGCUCGGUUCUGACGCUGAGGCGCGAAAGCGUGGGGAGCAAACAGG
rnacentral:rRNA from 1 species